rnacentral:rRNA from 1 species
UACGGAGGUGGCGAGCGUUGUCCGAAGUUACUGGGCGUAAAGCGCGCGUAGGCGGGUCUUUUAAGUCAGGGGUGAAAUCCUGGAGCUCAACUCCAGAACUGCCUUUGAUACUGAGGAUCUUGAGUUCGGGAGAGGUGAGUGGAACUGCGAGUGUAGAGGUGAAAUUCGUAGAUAUUCGCAAGAACACCAGUGGCGAAGGCGGCUCACUGGCCCGAUACUGACGCUGAGGCACGAAAGCGUGGGGAGCAAACAGG